GCAAACUUGGUCAUUUAGAGGAAGUAAAAGUCGUAACAAGGUUUCCGUAGGUGAACCUGCGGAAGGAUCAUUAAAAGUUCGGUGGCGUAAGCCUCCAGAUGCUUUCACACCUCUUUGUGGUUACUGGAGAUUCCGAUCUCCAGUAGUUGCUAAUGUGUACAACCCUUUGUGAACCUUUAUACCUAUGCUUCGGCAGCACUCUGUGGAAGCAAUUCCGUGGAGGUAAGGCUGUCAGAAGCCCCUUUAUAACUAGUUGAUUAAAAUCAUGUGGUCUGAAAAUCAGUGAUUUGAGAAAUCAAAAUCAUAUUAAAACUUUCAGCAACGGAUCUCUUGGUUCUCGCAUCGAUGAAGAACGCAGC
rnacentral:misc_RNA from 1 species